UUCGAUCAUGGCUCAGAUUGAACGCUGGCGGGAUGCUUUACACAUGCAAGUCGAACGGCAGCACGGACUUCGGUCGGUGGCGAGUGGCGAACGGGUGAGUAAUGUAUCGGAACGUGCCUAGUAGCGGGGGAUAACUACGCGAAAGCGUAGCUAAUGCCGCAUACGCCCUUCGGGGGAAAGCGGGGACCUUCGGGCUCUCCGCACUAUUAGAGCAGCCGAUAUCGGAUUAGCUAGUUGGUGGGGUAACGGCUCACCAAGGCGACGAUCCGUAGCUGGUUUGAGAGGACGACCAGCCACACUGGGACUGAGACCUGGCCAGACUCCUACGGGAGGCAGCAGUGGGGAAUUUUUGGACAAUGGGGAAACCCUGAUCCAGCCAUCCCGCGUGUGCGAUGAAGGCCUUCGGGUUGUAAAGCUUUUGGCAGGAAAGAAACGGCACGGGAUAAUACCCCGUGCAACUGACGUACCUGCAGAAUAAGCACCGGCUAACUACGUGCCAGCAGCCGCGGUAAUACGUAAGUGCAAGCGUUAAUCGGAAUUACUGGGCGUAAAGCGUGCGCAGGCGGUUCGGAAAGAAAGAUGUGAAAUCCCAGAGCUUAACUUUGGAACUGCAUUUUUAACUACCGAGCUAGAGUGUCAGAGGGAGGUGGAAUUCCCGCGUGUAGCAGUGAAAUGCGUAGAUAUGCGGAGGAACACCGAUGGCGAAGGCAGCCUCCUGGGAUAACACUGACGCUCAUGCACGAAAGCGUGGGGGCAAACAGGAUUAGAUACCCUGGUAGUCCACGCCUAAACGAUGUCAACUAGCUGUUGGGGCGGGCCUUGGUAGCGCAGCUAACGCGUGAAGUUGACCGCCUGGGAGAGUACGGUCGCAAGAUUAAAACUCAAAGGAAUUGACAGGGACCCGCACAAGCGGUGGAUGAUGUGGAUUAAUUCGAUGCAACGCGAAAAACCUUACCUACCCUUGACAUGUCUGGAAUCCCGAAGAGAUUUGGGAGUGCUCGCAAGAGAACCGGAACACAGGUGCUGCAUGGCUGUCGUCAGCUCGUGUCGUGAGAUGUUGGGUUAAGUCCCGCAACGAGCGCAACCCUUGUCAUUAGUUGCUACGAAAGGGCACUCUAAUGAGACUGCCGGUGACAAACCGGAGGAAGGUGGGGAUGACGUCAAGUCCUCAUGGCCCUUAUGGGUAGGGCUUCACACGUCAUACAAUGGUCGGGACAGAGGGUCACCAACCCGCGAGGGGGAGCCAAUCCCAGGAAAC
rnacentral:rRNA from 1 species